rnacentral:misc_RNA from 1 species
GAUGAAGAACGCAGUGAAAUGCGAUAAGUAAUGUGAAUUGCAGAAUUCAGUGAAUCAUCGAAUCUUUGAACGCACCUUGCGCCCUUUGGCCAUUCCGAAGGGCAUGCCUGUUUGAGUAUCAUGAACACCUCAACUCUUUAUGGUUUUCCAUGAUGAGCUUGGACUUUGGGGGUUUUGCUGGCCUAUGGUCGGCUCCUCUAAAAUAAAUCAGCUUACCGGUGUUUGGUGGGUAUCAUGGGUGUGAUAACUAUCUACGCUUGUGGUUUUUCCACCAGGUAACCUUCGACAGCGGAGGUUCACUGGAGCUCAUAGAUGUCUCUCCUCAGCGAGGACAGCCCUUUGAAUGUUUGAUCUCAAAUCAGGUAGGACUACCCGCUGAACUUAAGCAUAUCAAUAAGCGGAGGA